rnacentral:tRNA from 2 species
GCCUCCGUAGUUUAGUUGGUUAUAACACCCCACUAGUAUUUCUAUCACUAAUGGGGAGGUCUGUCGUUCGAAUCGGCACGGAGGCA